rnacentral:rRNA from 1 species
AUUGAACGCUGGCGGCAGGCUUAACACAUGCAAGUCGAGCGGGGAAGGGUAGCUUGCUACCUGACCUAGCGGCGGACGGGUGAGUAAUGCUUAGGAAUCUGCCUAUUAGUGGGGGACAACAUUCCGAAAGGAAUGCUAAUACCGCAUACGCCCUACGGGGGAAAGCAGGGGAUCUUCGGACCUUGCGCUAAUAGAUGAGCCUAAGUCAGAUUAGCUAGUUGGUGGGGUAAAGGCCUACCAAGGCGACGAUCUGUAGCGGGUCUGAGAGGAUGAUCCGCCACACUGGGACUGAGACACGGCCCAGACUCCUACGGGAGGCAGCAGUGGGGAAUAUUGGACAAUGGGCGCAAGCCUGAUCCAGCCAUGCCGCGUGUGUGAAGAAGGCCUUUUGGUUGUAAAGCACUUUAAGCGAGGAGGAGGCUACUUAGAUUAAUACUCUAGGAUAGUGGACGUUACUCGCAGAAUAAGCACCGGCUAACUCUGUGCCAGCAGCCGCGGUAAUACAGAGGGUGCGAGCGUUAAU